GAACAGCAGCCCUAGUGGCUAUUCUGCCUUC
rnacentral:piRNA from 1 species